AUCGAUGAAGAACGCAGCGAAAUGCGAUACGUAAUGUGAAUUGCAGAAUUCAGUGAAUCAUCGAAUCUUUGAACGCACCUUGCGCCCCUUGGUAUUCCGAGGGGCACACCCGUUUGAGUGUCGUGAAAGCCUCAACCUCCUUGGUUUCUUCUGGAGACCAAAGCAGGCUUGGACUUUGGAGGCCUUUGCUGGCACCUCUCUUUUGAAGGCCAGCUCCUCUUAAACGAAUUAGCAGGGUCCUCUUUGCUGAUCCUCGACGUGUGAUAAGAUGUUUCCAUGUCUUGGUUUCUGGCUCUGUCACCUUUGGGACCCGCUUCUAACCGUCUUGACCUUGCAUCGAGACAAUGUUCGAGCAUGUCUCCCUUUCUCGGGAAGCUCCCUCGACCCCACGAACCCCUUGACCUCAAAUCGGGUGAGACUACCCGCUGAACUUAAGCAUAUCAAUAAGCGGAGGAAAAGAAACUAACAAGGAUUCCCCUAGUAACUGCGAGUGAAGCGGGAAAAGCUCAAAUUUAAAAUCUGGCGGUCUUUGGCCGUCCGAGUUGUAAUUUAGAGAAGCGUCUUCCGCGCUGGACCGUGCACAAGUCUCCUGGAAUGGAGCGUCAUAGAGGGUGAGAAUCCCGUCUUUGACACGGACUGCCAGGGCUUUGUGAUGUGCUCUCAAAGAGUCGAGUUGUUUGGGAAUGCAGCUCAAAAUGGGUGGUAAAUUCCAUCUAAAGCUAAAUAUUGGCGAGAGACCGAUAGCGAACAAGUACCGUGAGGGAAAGAUGAAAAGAACUUUGGAAAGAGAGUUAAACAGUACGUGAAAUUGCUGAAAGGGAAACGCUUGAAGUCAGUCGCGUUGGCCAGGGAUCAACCUUGCUUUUUUGCUUGGCUUACUUUCUGGUCGAUGGGUCAGCAUCAAUUUUGACUGGUGGAAAAAGUUCAAGGGAAUGUGGCAUCUUCGGAUGUGUUAUAGCCUUUGUUCGCAUACAUCGGUUGGGAUUGAGGAACUCAGCACGCCGCAAGGCCGGGUUUUUAACCACGUACGUGCUUAGGAUGCUGGCAUAAUGGCUUCAAUCGACCCGUCUUGAAACACGG
rnacentral:rRNA from 1 species